CGGUGAUGUCAGCGGGGGCGGCGGUUGGCGGAGCAGGGGGGCUGCUGGGGGCCGCGCCUGUCAGGCCGUGUUCGUCAGUGGGCGGCCGGCGCUGAGGGGAGAUCUUGUCACGUGACUCUAAAGAAGAGCAAGGGUUGCAGCAGUCUUCAACUUUCAGUCCUAAAUUCCCAGUUCAAGAAAGGUCUGGAGAAGAAAGGCCUAAGUAACAUGAAUGAAAAAGGAAAAAAUAAUUGCAGAUAAGAUUGCCAUCUCCUAGAAAAUGUUUUCCAGAAGGGCCUAUAUGCAGUGCUGUGGAGGAUUCAGCUGAAUUCAGGCUGCCGACGGGGUCAGUUGCAGUCUUCUGUCUUAAAAUAUCAAUAAAAUUUUAUUUUAAAUGUGAAGGUUUUAAAUUUUAAAUGUGCUUUUCAAUGCUAAACAUUUUUUGUGGAAAUCCCUUUGUUACGUUAUUAGCAAGUACUCUAAUCAUCACUGCGUAUCUUACAUUUCAUCUGCGUGGAAGAAGUGGACAAUUCUUUUGCUGCAGAUUAACCACAAUUUAUUUUGUGAUUCUGUGGUUGUUGAAAGAGAGAAUACAUGGUUUGUUACUUUUUCAUCCAGUUAUUCAAGGAAUGGACAGAAGGGUUUAACCACAACUUCCCUUCUGUUCUCAGUCCCAGCAGAAAUUUGAGUUUGCAAAGAAAAAGUCAGCAGAAUCUGAAAAUGUGAAAACCAGGGAGUGAGUGGCUUGACAGUACAAAAGAUUGCAGUGUUGGAUCUUAUUUUCUUGGCUGACAGUGACUAGAAUGGUUUGUUUAUUUUACCUUUGGCAUAGCCUUGUUCCACACUUCAAUGUUAAUUUUUCUUAGAUGGGGAAAAAGUCAUCGCUAGAGUUGCUAUUGGAUGAAUUAGUUUUAGGCACCACUGGACACUAAUUGUAUUAAAGCAGAAUUUGGCACAAAAACCUGUUCAGUUUUAACUAUUUCCUCAUAGAAAUGGAGUCACUAGUGAGUCUUUUUAUUGACUGAAGGAUGAAAUUAGCUGUUAGUUCAUUUGGAUAAGCAGGUUUUUUGUUCUUGUUGAGACUCUAAAUAGAAGGUUGUAUGAGAAGCAUGUUCACGGCUCUGCUGCAGACAGUUCUGUACAUCUCAGUGCUUCAGAAACCAGCAGGCUACGCCAGCAGGCCUCCAAAAGCAACACAAAAUGGUAACUGUUGUGUCUGUUUUGCUUGAAAGCUGUUCUGUUCUGUCUUUGAUACAAGUUUUGAAUUCUGAGAUGGUUUUGUAUUUCUAGCAAAUGCAAUACUAUUCCUGGAGGAAUAAAAUGCUUCAAUAUUUGUGUGUUGGACCUGAUGGCCUUUCUGGCAGUCAGUGGGAGGCUUUAAUAUGCCAAAAAUGCAGACGACUCCUCUGCCUAAAGAAAUUUGCUUAGAUUAGAGAGUAGAGACAAGUGUUAAUUAACCAAGCGUGCCUACAACAUACAAAAGUUCUCUUAGCGUGUAAGUUAACAUCUAAGUCACCUUCUUUGGUGUAGUAUCAGUAGGGCAAAGCUGUAAACAGUCAUCUCUUAAUUUCACACACGUUAUUUUGAAAGCUAAUACAGUUUUUCUUAUCUCUGUUACACAUAAAGCCAUCAUUUGUGCACAAUGUUUUUUGAAUGCACUGUGGCUCAGCUGUAUAUUUUGUCCACAUCAGCUUCCUCUACAGUGUUGCCUGGUUAGCUCUAGCAAUGAGCAUCUUUUGAAACUUUUAGAAAAGCUUCUUCCAGUUUGCUAGAAACAAACAUGUAGGAACUGGUGACCAUCUGGGAUUAUAAAGAGGGUGGUUGCAGUGGUACUCAGUAGAAGGGCCAGAUCACCAGUUGGACCAUCUAGGAUUGCAGGGAAGAGAUAAGGAUUUGAAUAAAGCAGAUUCUCCAUUCUGGCAGUCAAACUGUUGAAACACUUGUUUUCUUGCAGCCCCACUGUGGUUUGCAAAAGCUAUUCCAUCUCCAAAAUGUUGCUGAGAGUGAUGCUGAUGAAAAUGACAUGCAGACACGCUUUACCAUUUAUGCAUCUCAGUCGCAAUAAGGGGGCAGAAUAAAAUAGACCAACCUAUCUAUGAAGAAUGCAAGGGUUAUUUGUCUUCACUAAGAUUUAGAGGACUUAUAAAAUGUUAUUGAUCACUAAUUCUAAAAUUGUCUUGAAUUGUAGCUUUCCUGUUGCAUCAAAGCUGUAUGACUAAUAUUUUGCUAUUCUGUUUUCUAGUAUCUUGGAACCAUCUAUCAGAAAGUGGGGAUACCAAAGAAUGCUAUAAGAAUGUUUUCAAAACAGCACAAGGAGGAAUUCUUUGUGAUUUUUCCUUAGUUAUGGGUUUCCUAAAGGAGUGUAAAAUUUUACUUUCUUCUUUAAUGGAAGAUAUCUACACAUAUAUAACAAAGUCCGUUUCUUAACUAUCGGCCUGUUUCAAAAAAUUCUGUUAUAUUUGGAACUAAGCCUAUCAUGAUGUGUUACAUGUCAGUAGGUAGUAUUAAUCUGCAUAAUUUUUUAAACCUUUAACAUCUUCCUUCUCUCCAAAGGCCCAAAGAACAGCAUCCUCAAUAGCUAGAAUAGAAUGUAAGUUCAGAGAUGAUUGCUACAGUAAAUUUCAAAAUGACAUCUAAUUCUUUCCUAAAAUUUCUGCUAUUAAACUUGCAUUCUGUUG